rnacentral:lncRNA from 1 species
UUUAGUACUUAUUACACCUGCAAACAACAUGAAAAAAAAGAGCCAAAGCUCCACCAAACACCAUAGAAGUUAUAACCGCAAAUUGGUCUGUAGAAGUAGAAGUCGCGGUUGUAGAAUUGUGACUACAAAUAUGAGGUCGUUAGGCUGUAGAGAGCUACAAAAAUAAAACCUAUUUGAAAAUAUAAAUUAGUAGAUAGUAGCAAGUAGGUCAUAUCUAUAAAGACCGAUAAUAAUUUUAUUUCUUUAAUAAAAAUAAAAAUAAAUGGGGUUUAAAAUUAAAAUUAAAAAUAAAACAAAGUAAAAAGAG